CCCCUCCUCCCCCAGCCCCUCCCCACCCUCCCCUCCCUCAGCCCCUCCCCACCCUCCCAUCUCCACCCAGCCCCACCCCUCCCACCCCCACCCUCCCCUCCUCAUGCACGACAGACAAAUAAUCCCUGGUGGGCAGUGUGGAAUCUGUUGUUCCUACCGGUAUAACAGUGGGAAAUAUCUGAACCGGUCCUGGGCCUCCCCUUGAUCGACUCAACCUCAAAUGAGUACCUGAUACAGUGGGUACACAUCACCACGAGGGAGACAAAUGCGUGGUGUUGGCUACCCACUCCCCUGUGUACUGUGCCCGUCCUCUGUAGGUCCUCACUAACACCACUUGCCUCAAAAAUUUGUUAAGGCUAUGAGGGGGGAUCUUUGUCUUUGUACAGUGGCAUUGGCUACGUAUAAACUGAUACUUUGAACGGAGUUUAUAAUACAGCAUGGCCUACGUGUAACGCAUCAUAUACCGUGAAGACAGCACCAUGAAAGUGUGUGCCGUAUAAUACAGAGUAUGUGUAAAGGAGCAUAGCCUGUGCACGUACUGCAGCGUUACUUUGAACUGAAACGUGGCAUGGCCGUUAUGUGUAGAACAGCAUUUCUUGUGUAUAUGUAGUGGGUUCCCACGGAGACUGGAGACGUAGCUUAGAGGCAACACGGUUUAUUUAAAUCUUAUAACAGAAGCCCCUUUUACUCCCACUACUUGGGGAGGUAUGGCCUCCGGGCUAACGUGCCCUAUCACUGGGGCUACGGGCUCUGAGUCCUCCGACUAAGGGUGGCCUCGGGGAGGCUAUGCUGACCCGACCCAGCCAACGUGCGGGUCUCAACCACUGGUCCGUGCUCGGCCCCGCCCCUUAAAAGGACGUCGGGUCCCGGGGUCCCAGGGUCCCAGGGUCCCGGGGUCCCAGGGUCCUAGCCUAGCCGGUCUUCAGUCUUCGUCUUCAGAGCACUGCCUCGGGCCGUCCUGGGGUCCGUCUUUUAUACCCACCUUGGGGACUCUCCACCCCCGGUACCGCCCCCUUUCUGGAACCUUCAAGGUGGCUCUGGAAUAACCCCCCAACCCCUCGGGAUCGGGGGGGGGGGAACUCGGCCUCUCAACGGUCCCGGUUCUCUCUCUAACUCACGGUGGCACCCCCUGCAGACUCGUGCCCGCAACUACAGUGAUGGGCUGCUGCUGCUGCACCUGUUGACGUUGAUGUCGGGGCAGGCAGAGUCCUCGCUCCGGGUCCCGGUGGCGUUGCUCCGGGGGAACGUGCAGAAGAAGGCGUUGGCCAGGAGGCAGGCGGCCUGCUCCUGAGACAUCGUCAGCAUCAAGCCGGUGUCCCGGCGGAGCAGCGGCAGGGGCUGGGGACACGUGCGGUGCACAGGGCGCAGCGACGUCACACGCGGCAACGGGUGGCACGGGGUUGCAGAGGAGCAACGGCGCAAUGGUAACACCGAUGCAGAGCACUGAUCCUGCACCACUGGGAUGCUGGGGUCUGGAUCAAGGAGUUCUGAAAUGCACGUAAACCAGAUUAUUGUUGUACACGUGAGGUUAAUGCUGCAGCCCUGCAAUUACUUGCUCAUGCAACUGCUGGUGAAAGAACCUCCACUAGAGGGAGGUCUAGAGUGCCGAUCCGGUGGGUAUGUUUUGGCCAACUUUUCCACACUGACCAUUCGUCUUGAACGAGGUGGGAGUACUCGCCAUUUAGCCCACUGCACGCGACCCACCGAUGGACUGUGGGUGGACAAAACAGGGAAUUGUAAGAAUCCUGGUCAAUGUUUUCAAGGCCAGGCUGGGAGAUCGAACCGCGACAUUUGAAGUCAAUCGUGACAACCAUCCCACAGUCAUGGCAGCAGCCCUUUUGCAGAAAUAAAAUAAAAUAUUGGAGAGGGCUUCACACAAGAAACAAGAAGAUUUAGUGGUUUGGACGUGGCUCUCCAAUGAGUACAGAUAGGGUACCACAAGUAGCGGUGCAUACUCGGGCGCAGAAAUAGAAGCAGAGACAAAGAAUGAGAUAGAUCGAUGCAAUAAAGAAUUGGCAGUGGUGCACCAAGCACGACCCCUUGCUGAGCGCUGCAGCAGCAGCCCCCCCCCACCCCCGGACCCCUCCCCCACCCUCCACUUCUCACCCUGACGCCACACAACCCGUAGGUAGGCGCUGCCCUCUGGUGGACAAGGCGCGGUACAGGCGGCAGCACGAGACGCCAGCAGCGUUGCGCUGCCAGGGUUACUCACCCGAACACCUCCGUACACUUACACACACCUACACACACCUCUAUACACCUCUAUACACUCACACACACCUACACACUUACAAAGACAAAGAUCCCCCGUAUGGCCUGUAGAGGCAAGUGCUGUUAGCGAGCACCUAUGAAGGCCGGAACGGUACACGAGGGGGUGGGUGGCCAGCACCACGCCCGACUGCCUUUGUCUCCCCAGUGGCGAUGUUUACACACCGCACCAGGUACUCAUUUAAGGCUGAGUCGACCUAGGGGAGGCCCAGGACCGGUUCAGAUAAUCGUCACUGGUGUUAGCCGUGAGUGGGAAUCGAACCCGGGUCGCCAGGUUCAUAGCGCAGCGCGCUAACUGCUACACUACCGCUCCCCACACACCUACACGCACACACCUCUACACACUUACACACCUACACACACACACACCUAUACAACAACAACCGCCAUUCGCCACUAAGUGGCGGUGACGUCACCACGACGCUUGUGCCAGGCCAAGUGCACCUUGAGGCCACGUGAAGUGUCGAACGCCCGCUGGCAGGAGGUCACAGGGCAGACCCAGCAGGUGCCACGGGUCGACUGACCGAGAUGACCGAGAUGACUGGCUGAUGCACCACCUGUGGCCCCCUACCGUACCAACUUGCUGUGCUUUAGCCACCCGGCGCUCCGCUCGUUGUUGUGAACGUCGCUCCUCAGCCCUCCGUUGUUGUUGGAGGGCGACUGCCUCCAACUGCCCAGUAGCGUCCUUCACGAGCCUCCUCCACUGAGGCCGAUCUUGACACUGCUGGUACCAGUCAUCGGCAAGUCCACUCAGCUCCACGUCCUCCUGUACCACAUCACUCCAUCUCUUCUCUAGCCCGCGCCGCGCCCGUUUAGCCCCCUCGAUUUUAGGCAUGCGGUAGCUGGGCAUGCGUGCUACAUGACCCAGCCAACGCAGCCUUGCCUGCCGGAGGAGCUCACCGAUGGGACUUUGCCCAGAUCUUUCAAGGAUUUGUGAGCUCCUUACACAAUCCAGCCUGGUUAAACCCAGGAUGGAUCGUAGGCAGGCCAGCCUAAAUGUUUCCAACCGACGAAGUUGCUCCAUUAGGGGGGUCCACGUUUCGCAAGCGUAGAGAAGGGAGGGAAUGACCGUGGCCGAGAAGACCUGAAGCUUCGUGCGGAGGUAGCUUCCACACAGCGUUACGCAACCGAUGAAAAGAUAAUGCCGCUCGACUGAUUCGGAGUGAGACCUCUGCUGAUAAACUGGAGCCGGUCAUAAGCACACUGCCCAGGUAUGGGAAACUCUCCACUCUCUCCACAACUGCCCCAUCACCGAUUGGGAGUUGUGGGGGUGGAGUGUCUGAUGGUACAAAAUACCCAGGCAGGUGCUUAGUUUUGGUGGGGCUGAUGGUAAGGCCCCACCUCUUAGUGGCACGCUCCAGUUUCAGCAGCAGCGUCUCCAACUCCUCUUCUGAAUGAGCAGCUAUUACCAAAUCAUCGGCAUACAUAACGUGGUCGAUCAGCCUCCCAUUAUAUCUGUACCAAAUGGAAAUUCCCCCGGUACAGCUAUUGAAGGCUUCACGAACUACGCAGUCGAAAUAGAUGUUAAAUAAUGUGGGAGCCUGAGGACAUCCCUGUCGCACCACAAGGUGUACAGGGGAAGGCUCUGAUUCCCGGCCACGUAGUUUUACCCGGGCCCGCUCACCAUCAUGAAGGUCCUUAAUGAUCGUGAACAGAGGGUCAGGGACUCCGAAAGCACGAAGAACAACCCAGAGCCCAGGCCUACUGAUGGUAUCAUAGGCCUUGACCAGGUCAAUAAAGCAGAGAUGAAGGUCUUGUUGGAAUUCCCUACACCUCUGCUGUAGCAGACAGACAGAAAAUAUGGCAUCUGUACAGGACCGCCCUUUCCUGAAACCGCAUUGGGGUUCUGCAAGCCUCUCCUCAGCGUGCCGAGCAAGGCAUCCUUCCAAUCCUGCGGUACCCGUCCAGCGGUCCAGACUGUUGUUAUGAUGUCAUAUAGGGCAGUCUGUGCACAAGCGCCACCCUCCCUCAGCAUUUCGCUUGGGAGAUCAUCUCUGCCCGGUGCCUUUCCUGGUCUCAGACUCCGGAUCGCCUUCAGUACUUCCUCAACAGAUGGCACCUCAGCCAGCCACUCACAGGGGGUGACCUCCUCCAAUAUUUGAGGCACCGCAGCCUCAGCAGGGUUAUCCCCACUUUGUGCCAUGAUGUUUUCCUGGCUGAGAGAUUUUCCCUCCCCCAGGACCUCACACACACCUAUAUACACUUACACACACACACCUCUAUACACUCACACACACCUACACACACACACUUCUAUACACUCACACACACCUACACACACACCUCUAGACACUUACACACAUCUACACACACACCUCUAUACACACACCUCUAUACACUCACACACACCUACACACACCUCUAUACACUCACACACACCUACACACACCUCUAUACACUCACACACACUGACACACACCUCUAUACACUUACACCUACACACACCUCUAUACACCUAAACACCUACACACACACCUCUAUAUACCUAAACACCUACACACACCUCUAUACACGUACACACACCUACACACACACCUCUAUACACUUACACACACCUACACACACACCUCUAUACACUUACACACACACCUCUAUACACUUACACACACACCUCUCUACACCUAAACACCCACACACACACCUCUAUACCCUUACUCACACCUACACACACACCUCUAUACACGUACACACACCUACACACACACCUCUAUACACUUACACACACACCUCUAUACACCUAAACACCUACACACACACCUCUAUACACGUACACACACCUACACACACACCUCUAUACACUUACACACCUCUAUACACCUAAACACCUACACACACCUCUAUACCCUUACUCACACCUACACGCAGGAGGAGGUGGUAGUGCGGGAACGAAAGGGCCUGGCUCGUGUGGCGAACGCGAUCCAUGCGCUCCUCCGCAGCAUGAUGCUGUUUUGUUGCGACCGGUCGACCGCACAGUUGGGGUGAUGGAGGUGGUGCGGUGCUUACCAUGACCGCUAUCACCACAUGCACCACACCAUCUACCCACCCACCCCGUGAUACACACCACACACACCACACACCCCACUCACACCACACACACCACACACACCACUCACACUACACACACCACACACACCACUCACACCACACACACCACACACACCAGACACACCGCACACACCGCACACACCGCACACACACACCCACUCACACCCCUCAUACCACUCACACUACACACACCACACACACCACACACACCACUCACACCACACACACCACACACACCACACGGUUCCCCGGAAAGACGGUGCCACUGGGACCGCAGCCGGGGAAGGAAACUGAGCAGCAGAUGCCAGGACUGGACUGGACAAUGACUGCUGCCAACAGACUAACUCUGUUCAGAGAUAGGAUCAAUCCAAUGUAUUAUGUAAUACUUAUCAUUGUUGUUUUUAUUAUUAACGUCAUGACAUGAACUUAUGAGGAAACAAUGUAACUUUGCAUUG